UCCAUCUCUGAGCGGAUGUUACGAGAGUGAAAGCAAAACACUGCGCCAUAUUCAUUUCAUAUUCGAUUUAAACUCUACACUAAUUCUGCAAAAUGAGGUGCGAAAUUUAUGUAAAAGACCUUUCCGGAAAUACAACACGAGUAGAUCUAGAUGUGGAUUCAGAGGAGGAGCUGAAGAACAUGACUGUUAAUGAGUUCAGAAGAAGUUUCAUUCCCGAAGAUGAAGGUUGAACUCUCCAGUGUUUCUGUGCAUGUGUGGUUCUGUGAUUCGAUUAAACAUCACAUCAUAACUACAGGCGAAAAUGAUUUAAACAUUAGGGAAAUCAGAUCUGAUCAAAGACCCUGAACUUCACAAAGAUGACAUGUGGAGGCUAAUCUACGCAGGCAAUCAACUGGACCAUGAUCAUACACUUGGCUAUUAUGGCAUAUCCAAUAAGUGUACUAUACACAUGGUUAAACGUCUGCGUGGUGGAAGAGAUGAAGGUACACCUCCAGAUGGAGAUAAAGGACUUCCCAGGACUGAAUCUAUGGAAAAACUGGCUGAUAUGCAGCAGCAGGAUUCCAGUGGAUGGUGUUGGAUAAUGUAAAUUUUAACACAACACAGUUCACAGACUGAGGAGAAAAGUGUUUCUGAGUUGAGCUCUUAGAUGGUUCUGGACGUUGUCUAUCUCCACUUCUCUACAAAAAGGAGCGAAUGGCCAGAGGUUUUAUGGCAUUAAACACAAGGACAUGAUAAAACAUCGCUCCCAUGAAGAGCAUAUGUGCGGUAUUUGAAAUUAGUUAAAGCAUCUCUUUAUAGUCUUUAACUGACCUUCAUUUCAGACAUCAUUAUAGAGUCAAAAGUCCACAUGAUUUUUUUAAAUAGUUUUUGUAACAUCUUCAUAACAUAAGUCCAUAUUUACACACACAUAUAUACACAUUGUGUUUUCUAUUUAAAAUAUUGACUUUCAUGAGUUUUCAUUUAAUGGCAAUAUAAAUGAAAACUUCAUUAUAAUCAAAAAAGAUCUUUAUGAAGCAAAAGACCUUUAAUUAUCGAUCCUUCACCCAAUUAAAGCUUCUGACUGAUCUUUUCAUGUUCUGCGUGGCUCUGGAUUAAAAAUAAUCACGCUCUACGUCACGACGAGCGGAUGUUACAACAGUGAAAGUAAAACUAAACACAGCAAUGUUUAUUUUACGGUGAUUCAUUUUAUCUUUAAUUCUUCAAAAUGCGGAUUGUCUUUCAUGUCAAAACUCCUACCGGAACGUCUUUUACGGUGUGUGCGGAUUCAGAGGAGACUGUUAAAGAGAUCAAAACAAGAGUCUAUGGCGACCAAUGGGAGGAAUACAGACUAAUCUUCGCUGGCAGCCUACUGGAGGAUGAUCGUACACUUGGUUCUUAUAACAUACAAAAUGAUUGUACUAUUCACGAGGUUAGGAGGCUUCUUGGUGGAGGUACACCUCCAGAUGAAGAUAAAGGAGUUCCCAGGACUGGAUCUAUGGAAAGACUGGCUGAUAUGCAGCAGGAGGAAUCCAGUGGAUCAUGUUGCAUAAAUUAAUUCAGUAAAUAUAAAAAUAUACGUAUACAUAAAUAUAUUCAUACUGUGAUCUGAUCAGGUAAAGUGAGAUAUCAUUGAAAUGUACAUAUAUAUUCUGUUCAGAUGUCUCCCUCUUACAGUAAAGUGUUUGAGUGAAGUGAAUUUAUAACGGACAGGAGAUCGCACUGAACGACUCUCCUGUACCAAAAACAGUAUGUUUAUCUGAACUGCAGGUGAAACUGAAUAUUAAACCUUUAAUGUAGCAUCCAUAAAGUUCACAGAGAAUAUAUUCCAACAGUAGAGAACUUGGUUAAAAUUUAUUUCAAUAGUUCACUUUGACAUUCUGAUAACUAUGAGUAACUUUACUACUGCAUACAAGUUGUAAAGUUACUCAUAGUUGAAUGUCUGAAGUGGAUCAUCAAAAUAAAGUGUUACUGUGAAUUUUAACACAACACAGUUCACAGACUGAGGAGAAAAGUGUUUCUGAGGUGAAUCAAGUUAUGAUGAAAGAUUAUGAAGACAAACAUUGUGCUUAUAUAUAUAUAUAUAUAUAUAUUUAUGAUCAUUAUGUGAGAUUGUAGUUGGUUUCUUUUUAGUACAAAACCACCUUACAGACAUUAAACACAAUACAAAAAAAAAGAGCAAGUAGUAAACAAAGUAUAGGAUAUCAUGAGAAUACCAGUUUACUGUGUUUAAAAUUACACACUUUAAAGUUUAAAUAUUUGGUAGAAAUUAAAAUUGCACAAAUGAUCUAUAAAGAAAAAAAUAAACAGCUGAUUCGUGGGGUGGUUUUGUGGAAUAGUCUGAACGAAUCGAUCAAACAAAGUGUAAAUAUGUUGCAAUUUAAAAAAAGGUAAAAAGAUUUGUUUUUGAUAAGCACAGAAGUGAGGAGGGAGAGUGAUGAUUCAACACUGUUGUUGAUGCUUGAUUUUUGUUGUUUGUUCUUAUAUUAAUAGCUAGAUAAAGUAGCAUGUAAAUUGGAGUAGCAUUUUCAUAUGAUUUAAAAUGGUAUUUCUGAUUUGUCUUGUUUGAUUUGGUUUUGGUAAGCACUGGGGUAGUGUCUGAUAAGCCUACAGCCUCUGUCUGUCUCUUUUUGAGCGGGUUGAGUAUUAUGUCAAAAUGUUGGUUUAUUCUGUUAUUGAUUUGUACGUAUUUUUUUCUUUUAAUAGUUUGAGUUCGAAAUAAAGAUUUAAUUAAUUCUUUCAUAAAAGUGUGUAUAAAGGAUAUAUACAUUUUUAUAUAAGGACCAUUUAUAGUUUUAAAAGUGACUAAAUGCUUGUUUUCUCUCUGGAAGAGCUUUUAUAUUCAACUAAAUAUUGUAUUAUUUUAGUGCAGGUACAUGAAUUGAGACACACCUACUUUGUGUUUAUAUAAAAAGGACAGAAAUGAGCCUAUAUUAAAUUAAACUGAAUAAAAAUGACUGAUGUUUUAAGCUCACUGCGGUGAUUGAUGAGUGUUUUAUUCUCAUGUGUAUAACUAGACUCAUUUAAUUAUUAAUAAAUCAGUUUCCAUCCAAACUCUUUAUUAGUAGUACCAAAAUGUCUCUGUGUGGGUACAUUUCCAAAACAAGUGAAUGAAAUCUUCCUCAGCAGAGCGACAGAAAGAACAAUUCACUUCAAUAUCUGACUUAUAUUUCUUAAGAAAGGCUUUGGUCAGGUAACAUCUGUAAAUUAAUUUAAAUGUUAUUUCUCCAGUAAGCAGAUACUUAGGAGACAAGACCACACUUUUUUCAUUAUUCCAGUAUGGUAUUACAAAGAACUGUCAUUAUCUCUCUCUGGAAAAGAGCUCUGAUUUUAUAAUUAUUUUGAAGAGUGGAUUCUGGGAUCCACUGCUGCUUCAAUAUAUAUAUUUUGAGUGAUAUAUAAUCAAGUUAUUAAUAAACAUUUCUCUUUCUAAAGAUUAAAUUAUUUGACUUCUUGAAUGUAUGUUAAAGCAUUUAUUUUCCUUUUAAUCGUCAAACACUAAUUCUGAAUGUUGUCUGUACCUCUCACAGAGAGAAAAGUACAACUUAUCAGUAUGUUUUGGGAAUCUUUCCUGUUUAUAGUUAAAGCCUGGGCCAACUUUAGCCUGAAGAAGCUGUGAAUCAUGUGUAUCUGUGUAUGUCAGGUCCAUCAUGGGUACUGAUGAACAACUGGCACUCUGCUGGAGACCUGCAGACGCCUUUUCAUGACUCAUCAAGACAUCCUGUGCCCAAGUUCAGGGUCUGAGCGUCAGCAUCAUUAUAGAUGGAGAUAUGCUUCUGACAAUCUGUCCAUGUGUGGAAGAUUACUAAUUUUGUCUGUUUUUCUGAGCCAAUCAGAAUCAUUCAACCUGAAGUAAUGACGUAUUUAGUUGACUCUGUUAGAGUAAAAUUGUUGUGAGGAUUUGAAUGUACGCAGAGCGCCUACAAACUCCUUGUGAGACUUGAAGCUGGCUUCUGCUGAUUAAACUGCAAACUACUGCAACAGCUUCCGCCUUCUGUUCGAUUCCUACAUUUUGGGAAUGGAGUCCGAUUCCUGGUUCAGGAAGUGACUGGAGUCGAUUCCAAGAAUCGAUUGCUCCUGUUUUCGGUUCUUUUUCAAUUCUUGUUUUUUAGAUUGAAGGAACCUAAUCUCACCAUGACUACAGGGUAUUAAAGUCAUAGAAAGUAGCCUUUCCAUAAUAUGAAGCUGAAUUAAUAAUAUAAAGGUAUAUUUCCACAGCUGUGAUUGAUUUUAAAUUGUAAUUUUGGCUGCAUUGCACCUGAAAUGGGUCAUCUAGUAUCGCUUAAAAACUGAGACACUGAAAUAACCAGAACAUCAACAACACUGGUAUAAGAGCGCGUGAUUUAUCUGUCAAUCAGAUUUUUGAUCUGUUCUCUCGACUCGUUUUCUUUCAGAGUUAUUGGCUGAUAGAAAGAAUAAAAGGAUAAAAAAUAUCAUUUUACCUAAAUGAAAAUAAUGAAGAGCCUGGAUCACCAUGCAGCACUUAAAAUUGUAUGCCAGUUUCACUGUAAAAUAACCUAAGUGUUGUGUUUCUAUUCUAAUGAUAUGUUUCUGCAAUGUGAAAUAUACACAUAAAGGAAGUCAGUAGCACUUUAUUUUACAGUCCUGUUCCGCAUGUACAUGUAAUUUAAUUAGGUACUGAACCUAACAUUAACCCAUGUAAUUAGGCCUACCUUACAUUAUCCAUUUUCUUAGGUAAGUACACGCAUUGUAGAAUAACGUGCAACAAGAGAAUCUGUAUAUUUGAAUGUUGAUUUAGCUCUUAUCAGUUGAAAGACUGCAAAGAAAACCCAUAAUUCUGAAGCAGAUAGCACCUGUGUCUGAUGAUGAUGUUGUUGUUUCUUUCAUAGAUGAAGACGGCAGACUCGUCUGCAAUGUAAAACAGCUAUCGUGUGUAUUUCGUACACGUUACAGUGCCAUUCAACACAGGGCUCUUAUUUACAAUAGGAGACCACCACAGACUGGAGGAAGAGGUUCAGGUCCAUCUAAAGAGGAACAUGAAGGAAUGUCCAGGACCAAAUCUAUGGAAAAAUUAACCCUUAGCUUGUAAAUGCAUCAUACUCACACUGAAUUCAAAGAGGAAGUUUCAAGCAUGUUGCAGUAAUGAAACGGCACACAUAAUCCAUUAUAAAUGUAUAUUCAUACUGAGGGUUGAAGUGUAAUAUCAAUAUUAUUUACUAGGGCUGGGUAUUGAGACAAUUUUCACGAUUCGAUUCGAUUACUAUUCACAUGCUUUUGAUUCGAUUAUGAUUUCGAUUCGAUAUCGAUUAUUUUGGAUGUAGUAUUUCAGUUACAGUACAUGGCAAAUUUUCUAGAGGAAAAAAAUCUCUCAACUAAUGCUGUAAGUCAGUUGGUACUACAUUGCUAUUAUAUUGAAGGUUAAAAUGAACUUAUUUAUAUACAAACACUUAAAUUACACUCAGUGAUGUUUUUUAUAAUAAAGAAAGUUUAGAAUUACAUAAUCAUAUUUCUACUCCAAUUCCAGAUUUUUGAAAUGGAAACCGGGGACAUUUCCUAUUUGAGUGGCCAAAUAUCGUAGAAAUCUCAUUUGACCAACUCUUUAAAGCAAAAUUUAUAAACAAUUUAUAAAACAUAAUAUAACUGAUUUCAGUGAAAUGGAGCAGCGUAACCAAAGCCCUUUUACCCAUAUUUGUACAGACUUUCAGGAAGUUAAAAGAUGAUAAUCUUGAGAAUGAAGACCAUAAUUCUUUACACCUCAUACUGCUGUAAAUAAGAGGGCUAUAAAUGUAAUAUGCAAUAUAAUUGCAUCAUAUAUAGUGUUCUCUAUGAGACCACGCUGUAUGAUUUCCCAGUGACAUUUAUAUUUUUUGUUAGAUAUUUCAGCUAUAACAGUGGAAAGUGCAAACAUUUUGUUUGUUGAAAAUGCCACAAGUUGCACUGCAAAUAGCACACUAUGUACUCAUCCGUGUAGUGUAUGAGUUUUAUAAUGUUAUUUUGUCAUUCAUCAUUAGUGUCUGAAGCUCCACCUCUCCUCUAGAUAAUUAAAUCUGUGACAGUCGAGUGAAAGAAGUGUCCAACAUUUUCUUUUUGUUUAGUGCAUCAUCCGGGUCUUUAAAGUGAACACAUUAAUCAUACUCUUGAUACUUAAAAACAUAAUGUAUAAGUGUGUGAAUUGAGACGAACCAAAUUUAUGUUUACACUACAAUGGACAAAAAGUGUGGAGUGUGGAGAAGUGACAUUUGUCAUGUUAAAAAAAAAAAUAUAAUCGAAAUAUUACAGUUUUUUCUGAAUUGCUAAAACGUUUAUCAAAACCGUCACUCAUCUAAUCAAAACAUUAAACACAAAUCCAAAUCUUCAAACUAAAUUCACAAAACCUCUGACUCUUAUGGCAAAAUCAAACAAUUGCUUGGUUGGGCAAGUUCAAAAUGUAAUAAAUUAUAUAUUACUAGUUACUGUCAUUUGAAAGUAAUUACAAUAUUACUAUCUCUGAAUUGUAAUGCGUUACGCUACUUUUGAGUUACUUUCACCAAAAUAACCACAGAAGUAUGACGGCAUAAAAUGCUAAAACGUAAUUUAUUGCUGCUCACUGUAGAUCCAGUGGAGGGCGAUGUGGUGUAGCAGAAUGACUGCAGUGAUCCUCAACGGAGGAUCUAUUUUACUUUUAGAUUUUUUUCUCUGGUGCUGAAUGUCUUAAAGUGUUGGUAAAAAAUAAAACUUAAACCCACUUAAUUUCGGGUUAAAAUGCGUUGUACUGAGAUUGUAACGAGUAUAAUAUUACCCAGAUUUUAUUAGUAAUGCGUUAUGUUACUGCGUUACAGCAAAAAGUAAUAUAUUAGACCUACUGUAAUAUAAUGCGUUACUCCCAACACUGCACAACUAAAGAUGAAGUUAAGGCUAACAGUAUCGAAGGCUUUUUGGAAGUCAAGAAGGAGCUGAAAUAGGUGGAGACUGAGGCUAAUCAAAGUUAAACAAUAACCACAGUCUCACAGAUAAUUCUACAUUCAAAGGUAAUUCAGUACAGGUUGGAUCUCAUUCAAAAUGAGUUUUCAGAUCUACUUUAAAGAUGAGAUAAACAAACAUGAGAGAAUGAAAGUGUGUGUGUCGAACUCAGAGGAGGAAUUCAGGAACACCACAGUGGAGGAGCUGAAGAGAAAACUCAUUCCUGAAGACCAAUAUGACAACACUAUACUUCUCUACCAUUACAACACACUGAAGAAGAAUCGCACACUUGGUUUCUACGGGAUUAAACACGAGGAUGAGAUUAGAGCAGUACGCCGCGGAACCACCAUUACAGUGACAGUUGAGUUUCAUUCUUUUCCUGCUCAAGUGACAGAAGAAACACUUACCUUUGAAGAUGACGAUGAUGAAGAUAAAGAAAUAUCCAGGACUCAGUCAAUUGACAAUUUGGUUCUGAUGCAACAGAUUGACCACCACAGCUUCACAUGAUCCACAGAAAUAUAUCCAUACUGUCAUCAGUUAAAGUGUCUCAUCUUUAAAUUUGACUGCCAUCAACAUUCACUAUCAUAUAUUCUCUUCUGAAGUCAUCUUAAUGUAAAAUGUUUCCUAAAAAGAAUUUAUCAUGAAUUUUUAAUGGUUAUAAAGUUAAAAGAGUUUUGUUUUGACAUUCUGUGCAUUUCCUGUAUGUUUCUGUACAUUCAUAUGCAAAUAUUGUGCUUAGCCCUUUAUUUUACAGUUAUUAAAUCAUACAUGCAAGUGAAUAUUUUUAUUUUGUCGAAUUUUCCCUUUGCACUUUCAAUGGAUAAACAGUUUUUGUACAAGUAAAUUCAUCCAUUCCAAUUUGCUUUAAUAUCACGUCAGUUAUGAUUACUCAA